rnacentral:lncRNA from 1 species
CCGGAUUUAUUAACAUUUAUUUGUGUCCUGGCAAUAUCACAAGAACCAUAACUGAUGAAUGCUGAAAGUGAAAAUCGUCAAUAUCAAAUUUGACCUCCAUUUUGUAGUCAGUAUCAACAUAUUAAAAUUUGAAAAGCUUAGAUUGAAUGGUUCAUUAGUAAAUGCAACAACGUGAAUGGAAACGCCAUUUUACGAUCUUUCAAGAACCAUAACUCCUGAACGGUAAAAGUCAAAAUCGUCAUUUUUAAACUUGACCUCUAUUUUGUCAUCAGUAACAACAUAUAAAAAUUUCAAAAGCUUUGGUUGAAUGGUUUAUGAGAAAAUGCACAGACACGACUGGAAACACCAUUUUUCAAUCUUUCAAGAACC